rnacentral:lncRNA from 7 species
CCUGCCUGUGAGGUGGGUAAGUAUUUCCACGGUGCCACCAAAAAUCAGGGAGAGCUGCAGUCGGUGUGUGCUCCAAUAACGGCAGAUCCGGGAAAUGCAGGAUUGUUUGUGUAACUCCCACUCUACAGCAGAUAGCUUCUCUGUCACCAUGACUUCAAUGUGCACAGUCCAAGCAGUCACUUGUGAGCAAGGAGAGCAGGCCACUGUACCCUGUGGGAAUUGUACUACUUUUCUGUGGCAGUUUGGGAUAACUGAGGGCUCCCUUGGGAGUGUUGGACUUCUACCGCCACACGCUUUGGAUUGAAGAGUUACCAGAACGACAUCUGUGAGGUUUCCAAGCUAAACAAAACCUGAAUUUCUGGUGCAAAAAGCAACGUGAUUUCUGUCAUUCCUGCUGGGCAUUGCACGUGGGCCUUUUCAUGGAGAGGUAACGCACUGCAGCUGUGUGUUAAACAUGGCAACAUACAGGAUACAGUGAUCUCUCCACUCCCAGGAGCCUGGAAGACUGAAGCCCUCUGCCUAGAGGAUGAAAUGCUUCAUGUUUGGAAAAAAAAACUAGCAGGCUUUGUCUGUGACAGCUCCUUUCCUGUGGAUGUCCUUCCAGCCAGGCUGCCCGCAGUGUGACAGCAGUGACCCUGUGUGAGGUUUCUUUGAAGGACCUGGGAGACUGCGUGGCUUUUUCUUGUCCCUCGGAGGUGCUUCCCUGGCAGGGAGGGAGGAAAAUGAUUGGCAGUGCUGUCACAGGAGGCAUGCUUACCUGGCUAGGGGAAAGCUUGGUGUGGAAAAGCCAGCUGGUGCAUGGUUUGGGGAAGGAGAGGUUCCUUUCUCUCCAGAAUGGAAUCCCUUAAGGAAGGUAUAGACAAGCAGUUCCUGCUCCUGGGGCUUCUGGCUGGUUAAAACAAAGAGCUGAGCCCAUUUCCAUGGAGAAAUGUAUGAUAGAGCACGUUGCAGUGCUUUUCCUUGCGUGUGCGUGGCUUGGUCACACGUUUAACUAAUAGAUGGUUUGCAUGCAAGAGGUUAUUGCUUUUUUAUACUUUUAAUCAGUCUAUCUCCAUUGGGCAGAGCAGCUUCACAGCCACCAGCACGGGGGAAACUGAGGCACGGGGCUACAGUGGGAUUACAGGCAGAGCCGGGGAUAAGGCUCAGGUUUGCCGAGGCUCAGACCGACGUGCGUCAGAGGGCUGAUUAAAUGGAGAGAUUUGCAAAGGGAAGUGACCUAUAGCUCCACGGCCGGGACGGUGUGCUGGACUCGAUCCUUAUGGGCACCUUCCAACUCAAAGGGCAGUUUGGUCAGGGGAAGGGCUGGGUAAGCACGGCGAGCACGGCCGACAGGGAGCGAGAUGUGGUGAGCUCCUUCCAUUGCCUUAGCCUGGAGCACAGCCAACCCGCGGGGCUCAUCCAGCACUGAACUUUGGAGUCGUUGCAGAUAAACAGCGCUAUAGGCUAAUAAAAGGCUCUGCCACGCAGGGCCCGGUCUGCCCG